rnacentral:rRNA from 1 species
CCUACGGGUGGCAGCAGUGAGGAAUAUUGGUCAAUGGCCGGAAGGCUGAACCAGCCAUGCCGCGUGAAGGUCAGUGCCCUAUGGGCGUUAAACUUCUUUUGUGCGGGUGCAAUAAUGGUCACGUGUGGCCAGACGAGAGUACCGUACGAAUAAGCAUCGGCUAACGACGUGCCAGCAGCCGCGGUAAUACGGGGGAUGCAAGCGUUUUCCGGAUUUUUUGGGUUUAAAGGGGGCGUAGGGUGGGAGGUAAGUCAGCGGUGAAAUGCCGCCGCUCAACGGGGUGAAGUGCCAUUGAUACUGCCUUGCUGGAAUGCGGAUGCGGUGGGAGGAAUGUGUGGUGUAGCGGUGAAAUGCAUAGAUAUCACACAGAACACCGAUUGCGAAGGCAUCUCACGAAUCCGCGAUUGACGCUGAUGCACGAAAGCGUGGGUAUCAAACAGGAUUAGAUACCCGAGUAGUC